rnacentral:rRNA from 1 species
ACGGAGGGUGCAAGCGUUAUCCGGAUUCACUGGGUUUAAAGGGUGCGUAGGUGGGCAGAUAAGUCAGUGGUGAAAUCUUCCGGCUUAACCGGGAAACUGCCGUUGAUACUAUUUGUCUUGAAUAUUGCGGAGGUAAGCGGAAUAUGUCAUGUAGCGGUGAAAUGCUUAGAUAUGACAUAGAACACCAAUUGCGAAGGCAGCUUACUACACAAUCAUUGACACUGAGGCACGAAAGCGUGGGUAGCGAACAG